rnacentral:SRP_RNA from 1 species
GCCAGGUGUGGUGGCUCACGCCUGUAAUCCCAGCACUUUGGGAGGCCGAGGCAGGAGGAUCACCUGAGGUCGGGAGUUCAAGACCAGCCUGACCAACAUGGAGAAACCCUGUCUCUA